UACGUAGGGGGCAAGCGUUGUCCGGAUUUAUUGGGCGUAAAGAGCGUGUAGGCGGCCAUGUAGGUCUGGUGUGAAAACUCGAGGCUCAACCUCGAGAGGUCAUCGGAAACCAUCUGGCUAGAGUCCGGAAGAGGAGAGUGGAAUUCCCGGUGUAGCGGUGAAAUGCGCAGAUAUCAGGAAGAACACCCGUGGCUAAGGCGGUUCUCUAGUACGGUACUGACGCUGAGACGCGAAAGCGUGGGGAGCGAACAGG
rnacentral:rRNA from 1 species